AUAUCCAAACUAUGAUAAAGUGCACUAUAUAUCUACACUAGAAGUAAAACAUAGAUUUUAUGAUGUCAAUUGGAUAAAGGAAGGAUUGAUUUCAAAAUAUUCAUAAAAAAUCAUGUGUAAAUUUUACUUCAAAAUUGCUAUGAGAAUAAACAGUGAUUAAGCAAUGUGAAUAGAAAAGGAAAAUUCAAUGUAAUUCAUGUUAUACAAGGAUACAGUGAUUAAAAUAAAUGUGUAGGAAAUCAUUCAUUAUUAAGGAGGUAGGAAGUAUACAU
rnacentral:lncRNA from 1 species